AUGCUCAGGUUGGCAGUAUGUACACUAACACUGAAGCACACAGAGAGUAGCAUGGCCCCGCACAAGGACGGCAUGCAAAUUUGUGAAGUGUUCCAUAUUUUU